GAUGAAGAACGUAGCGAAAUGCGAUAAGUAAUGUGAAUUGCAGAAUUCAGUGAACCAUCGAAUCUUUGAACGCACAUUGCGCCCGGCAGUAAUCUGCCGGGCAUGCCUGUCCGAGCGUCAUUUCUGCCCUCGAGCGAGUCCAGCAUCUAGGUGCUGGGCCCGCCCGGCGUUGGGGCACUACGGGAAGCCCUGUGCUGUCCCCCGUAGGCCCCGAAAUGAAGUGGCGGUCCUGCCGCGGCGCCCCCUGCGUAGUAUAACAGCUCGCUUCGGGACCCGGUGGAGGCCUGCCGUCAAACCUUACUCUCUAAGUUUGACCUCGGAUCAGGUAGGGUUACCCGCUGAACUUAAGCGUAUCAAUAAGCGGAGGA
rnacentral:misc_RNA from 1 species